AGGAAGAAAAAAAAGCCGGAGAGCACUUUCUGGAGAAGGUUCAGUUAUGAAAACAAAAGUAUUGUAACAGAUGGGGCCAGCUGCACCUUGGAAACAGCAUAAAAGCGGGUCCGGGAGAGCCAAGGGAGCUUAUCAGCCUCACAGGAGAGCCAGAGGGACGCUGACUGACGGGGCUCGCGGCGGCAGACACACACUUUAGCACUGCGGGGGGAGAUAUAAAAGCACUCUCACACACAGCGUCCAGCCGUCUGGCACACUCCACACUUCACUGAAGGACUCCGUUUGACUUGGGUGUGAGUUUCUCAUCACGGAGAAUGCUUCCUCCAAAACACCACACGACUCAACUUGAAAGGUUUUAGAGGAAAAAGAGAUAGUUAAUUUGGACAGCAUAUGACCACAAACAUUCCCUCUCUUUAAAGAUUGGUUGUUUUUUGGGCUAAGUAGCAGCCAGGUUUUGGGGGUACUUUUGUGAUGUGGAUAUUAAUGGUGGACGGGCACUGUCAAGCUGUUCGCAGAGGAAAAGAUAGAAAGACAGGAACGUUUUUGAAUUCUAACCCACUGUUAUUGUGACUAUUUUACCACCUUGUCUUUCAUCUUUUUCACAUUCUCCACAACUUAUCCAAACCAAGUAUUGAAAAACUGAGGUAUUGAAGCGGAGAUGGACUCCUCAUUCACCUCAGAGAUGUUUUACAAUGCGGGGUCGAUCUCAGCCCCCACCGCCAGUUACCUGGACGAGGACAUCUAUCUGCAGGAGGAUCUGGAUGUGUUCAGUGUAACCAUGGCUGUUCUCUACCUUGUUGUGUGCAUCGUAGGGCUGGCCGGGAACACCCUGGUCAUCGUGGCCGUCUUAAAGCUGGACAAGAUGGCUUCCGCCACCACGGUCUACAUCUUUAACCUGGCCUUGGCCGACGCCCUAUUCAUGGUGGGCCUCCCCUUUAUCGCCAUCCAGAACUUCCAGAACCACUGGGCCUUUGGGGACCUGGCCUGCAAGCUGGUCAUGGUCCUGGAUGGCAUCAACCAGUUCACCAGCGUCUUCUGCCUGACCGUGAUGAGUAUUGACCGCUACAUGGCGCUGGUCGACCCACUGCGGUUCGCCCGCUGGCGCACUCCUAGGCGGGCCAAGAUUGUCAGCGGCUUCCUGUGGCUGUUCUCUCUGCUGCCUGUCCUCCCCAUGGCCAUUCACUUCUCGGCCAGGGACGGCCUGUGCACGGUGGACCCCCAUGUGACCUCUGACUCCUGGUGGCUGGCCUUCCUCAGCUACACUUUUGUCCUGGGAUUCGCUCUGCCCUCGCUGGUCAUGACUGUCUCCUACACUGCCCUGGUGGUCACCCUGAGGACUCACCGUUGCCAGGCCAGCUCCCCAAGCCAGGAGAGUCAUUGCCUAGAGAGCCAGGUCACCAAGAUGGUGGUGGCGGUGGUGCUGGUGUUCGGUGUGUGCUGGCUGCCUUUCUACACCUUCAACUUCUGCUCUCUCUACCGUAUGGACCUGGUGUUGACCUUCGCCAGGGGCUUUGAGUUUGUGGUGCUGCUGUCUUACUCCUGGAGCUGUGCCAACCCCAUACUGUACGCCUGCCUCUCCGAAUCCUUUGGACGCCACUUCCUCACCCUCCUCUGCCCCACCAAAAGGUCUCCCAGCAUGCACUGCAACCCUGACACGGAGCGCUAUGACCUCAAUGACACGAACGGGAGGGACAUCAGUGUGGUGGCGUAGAGAAGCCAGAAAAACAUUUCACAUCAGCCCCAAGGUACAAUGUGGAAAUGUGGAAACUGUUUUGUAUUUGACUUCUAACACAGCUGUUGUGCGUUGGCCCCGCUGCUCUAGCACACCUCGGUCAUUUGAUUUUCCAUAACUCAUGAAAUGAAGCAUAAAUGAUGCGACAACAGAGAGGCGGUGAAAGGUGGCAUGUAAACAAGAUAGCAGCUAUGUGUUGCUGGCCAAGACAAUGAGCUCCCAGAAGACCCACAGAAGUUGACUCAAUGACUUUUGGGGUGAUGUCAUGGUUGUCAUGGAAGUCAGCUCAGAGUUGAUUUCUUUAGGGGUAAUUCUUACUACAGAACUGUUUGGGAUACGAAGGACCAGACGAAAAGGUGUUUGGUUCAUCCCAAGAUUAGUCCUAUUGGAUGUUCAUAGAGUAAGAAUGUUCAUACUGUAACUAUGGAUGGUUUAUACUUAUUAAAAUGCUUGUUGUAUGUGGCUUAA